CCUACGGGAGGCAGCAGUGAGGAAUAUUGGUCAAUGGUCGAGAGUCUGAACCAGCCAAGUAGCGUGAAGGAUGACUGCCCUAUGGGUUGUAAACUUCUUUUAUAUGGGAAUAAAAUGUUCCACGUGUGGGAUUUUGUAUGUACCAUAUGAAUAAGGACCGGCUAACUCCGUGCCAGCAGCCGCGGUAAUACGGAGGGUCCGGGCGUUAUCCGGAUUUAUUGGGUUUAAAGGGAGCGUAGGUGGAUUGUUAAGUCAGUUGUGAAAUUUUGCGGCUCAACCGUAGAAUUGCAGUUGAAACUGGCAGGCUUGAGUACAGUAGAGGUGGGCGGAAUUCGUGGUGUAGCGGUGAAAUGCUUAGAUAUCACGAAGAACUCCGAUUGCGAAGGCAGCUCACUGGACUGCAACUGACACUGAGGCUCGAAGGUGUGGGUAUCGAACAGGAUUAGAUACCCCUGUAGUC
rnacentral:rRNA from 1 species